rnacentral:rRNA from 1 species
GUGGGGAAUCUUGCGCAAUGGGCGAAAGCCUGACGCAGCCAUGCCGCGUGAAUGAUGAAGGUCUUAGGAUUGUAAAAUUCUUUCACCGGGGACGAUAAUGACGGUACCCGGAGAAGAAGCUCCGGCUAACUUCGUGCCAGCAGCCGCGGUAAUACGAAGGGGGCUAGCGUUGCUCGGAAUUACUGGGCGUAAAGGGCGCGUAGGCGGACAGCUUAGUCAGAGGCGAAAGCCCAGGGCUCAACCUUGGAAUUGCCUUUGAUACUGGCUGUCUUGAGUUUGGGAGAGGUGAGUGGAACUCCGAGUGUAGAGGUGAAAUUCGUAGAUAUUCGGAAGAACACCAGUGGCGAAGGCGACUCACUGGCCCAAUACUGACGCUGAGGCGCGAAAGCGUGGGGAGCAAACAGGAUUAGAUACCCUGGUAGUCC